GGGUUGUAGGGCUCCAAGCUAAAAGCAGAUCUGUGUGUAUUUCAACUCCCACACAAACCCGUGCAGUCUGAAGAGAUCCGUGUUUCCCCUCUCAUGCAUGGAAGGGAAGGUUCUCUGACAUCUAGCCCCCAAAGAAGAGUGACUGACGAUACCAUCCACGACUCAUGGGUGACUCUCGCUUCUUUCACGCCCUCACUGUCCACCACCAAGCAGUAACCAUGGAGAGAGUCCGUUGAGUUUUUCAGUUCCUUAGUCUGGUGGAUGAAUGUCCACCCCAGAGAAGUGGAAAAUCAAGGCUCCAACAUCGGCUGAAGCUGGCAGGAUGAGAACCUCAUCCCUGACCCCCAACCAGGGCCACAGGGCAGCUUCAGUGCCCCCUGAAUCCUGAAGUCAUCUUGGGAGGUACGAGACAGCCCUGGCGAGGAGUCUGAACUUCAC